GAUGAACGCUGGCGGCGUGCCUAAUACAUGCAAGUCGAGCGAACAGAUAAGGAGCUUGCUCCUUUGACGUUAGCGGCGGACGGGUGAGUAACACGUGGGUAACCUACCUAUAAGACUGGGAUAACUUCGGGAAACCGGAGCUAAUACCGGAUAAUAUUUCGAACCGCAUGGUUCGAUAGUGAAAGAUGGUUUUGCUAUCACUUAUAGAUGGACCCGCGCCGUAUUAGCUAGUUGGUAAGGUAACGGCUUACCAAGGCGACGAUACGUAGCCGACCUGAGAGGGUGAUCGGCCAAACUGGAACUGAGACGCGGUCCAGACUCCUACGGGAGGCAGCAGUAGGGAAUCUUCCGCAAUGGGCGAAAGCCUGACGGAGCAACGCCGCGUGAGUGAUGAAGGUCUUCGGAUCGUAAAACUCUGUUAUUAGGGAAGAACAUACGUGUAAGUAACUGUGCACGUCUUGACGGUACCUAAUCAGAAAGCCACGGCUAACUACGUG
rnacentral:rRNA from 1 species